UAUCACGUGGGUGACCUGCCCUGCAGUGGGGGACAACGGUCCGAAAGGAGCGCUAAUCCCGCAUACCUUCCCUGGAAACGGUGGAAGAAAGCUCUCACGAGCGCCGGAGGUGGGGCCCGCGUCCCAUUAUGCUGGUUGGUGGGGUAAUAGCUCACCAAGGCGCUGAUGGGUCGCUGGUCUGAGAGGACGAUCAGCCAGACUGGGACUGAGACACGGCCCAG
rnacentral:rRNA from 1 species